rnacentral:rRNA from 1 species
UACGUAGGCAGCAAGCGUUGUUCGGAAUUACUGGGCGUAAAGAGUGUGUAGGCGGCUAUUUAAGUUUGGUGUGAAAUCUCCCGGCUCAACUGGGAGGGUGCGCCGAAUACUGAGUGGCCAGAGUGCGGGAGAGGAAAGUGGAAUUCCUGGUGUAGCGGUGAAAUGCGUAGAUAUCAGGAGGAACACCGGAGGUGUAAACGGCUUUCUGGACCGUAACUGACGCUGAGGCACGAAAGCGUGGGUAGCAAACAGG